GGAGAGGUGACAGAGUGGUCGAAUGUGCCAGACUCGAAAUCUGGUGUACCUUUACCGGUACCGUGGGUUCGAAUCCCACCCUCUCCGCCA
rnacentral:tRNA from 1 species